rnacentral:lncRNA from 1 species
UUUUUUUUUCUUUAUUUUUGUCUUUCACUGAUUAAUCUAGAUUGUCAUGGAGGCUGUUCACUGGCAGUAAUGAAGAUAGUUGCAUGGAAAGAACAGGAGGAAAGUGGUUUAAAAAGACUGUUUCAAAGAUGGGCCAUCAGCAUAUAUGUGUUUUCCAGGCUAGAAAAUUUUAUAGUUAAAAUAAUGCAAAGAAUUUUGGUUUAAAAAUCACUAGAGAAUUAGGUGAGAGAUUUUGAUAUCAUCUGAGGACUUUUUCCCACCUCGGGGAUGAUGAAGAAAACAUCAGGAAAGUUCAGUAAUUAGUCCAUGCCAUACCAGUAAGUGACUGGGACAAUGACACCCACUUGUGAAUGAGACUUUCGAGAAGCACAAUCAGAAAACAAAAAAUGCAUAUCGUGAAUAUGAUAAAACACCAAGGGGCAAAAGGAAGCAAAUAGACAUGGUUCAAAGAAGCUCCCAGCAAAUGGUGUGCCACAGUGCUUCCUUCAAACUUUUAUUUUGAUGUUUAGGUUUCAUCGGGUCUCUAGAAUAUAAUUGACGUUUGCUCAGAGCACCUAAUAUGACAGGGUUCAAAUGAAGACUCGAUGCCAGACUAAGAGGAUGACAAGAAAACCUCGUUAAAAAUACUCAUUUACUUGUUAACAGAGUUUUUCUCUGCAGUUUUUCAUGCUGCCCUCUAGGAUUCAUUUUUAUUUAUUGCCUCCUAAGGUUCCACAUCUUUUAUGACAGUCUUCUCAUUCAUGUUGCCCAGAAACAAAAAGGCCCGGGGUUUCCUGACAUUGGUGCUUUUAAGAUAUGCUCUAUUCCCCAGUUUUGAGCAAAAGUCAAAGGAAAAGAUAAUAUAUGAGUACAGGGAGACCUGAAGCUUGACAAAGGAUCUCCUUCUUUCUAGAGAGAGAGAAUACCUCUUCCUCAUUAGGGAUAAAAGCCCAGAAGCCACAAGCUGACACGAGUCUCUGCAACCCUAGGCUUCUUCAAGCCGUCAGAGUACACAAUAGCCCGAUAGUGUCUGAAAGCAUGAAAACGCCUCAUACCCAAUAAUAAACUAUUUUUCUAGUCAUCUUUUUAUUUUAACACAGUGCACAGCAUGUGUUCAUGUACCCAAACAUAUUAAUUAGCUAUGUACCUGCAUAUAGGAUUAUAACAUUCAUUAAUUGAAGAUCCUGUGAAAAGUGAAUAAUAGCUGGCAUUAAAAUAUUCCAAGUAUUGUGCUAGGAAUUUGCCUUGCAUUGUUUCAUUUAAACCUCAGGUAACAGUAUAUUGAAAAGCUAUUAAUAUAACUAUUUUACAGAAAAGGAAACUGAGGCUUAAAAGGAAAAAGUCAAAAGUUUGGGUAAACAAUAGGUGAAACUGUUGGGGGGAAGGAAGAAUUAGGAGGAUGGAAUAACAUACAUACACUACUGUAUACAAUAGAUGAUUAACAAGAACCUACUAUAUAUCACAGGAAAGUCUACUCAAUAGUUUGUGAAAACCUAUAUGGGAAAAAAGAAUGGAUAUAUUUAUAUGUGUGAAUGAUUCACUUUGCUGUACACCUGAAACUAAUGCAACAUUGUUAAGUCAACUAUUAAAAGAAAGUCUGUAACUUUUCUCUUGUAAUAUGUUGACAUUAUCAUCUUUUUAAGUUUUGAGUGAAAUGUUAAAAAAAAAAGUUUGGGUAAACAGAUAUUGAAAGUCUCAUAGGCAUUGGAGAGUUCCCGUCAUGGCUCAGUGGUUAACGAACCCGAAGAGUAACCUUGAGGUUGCGGAUUCGAUCCCUGGCCUCGCUCAGUGUGUUAAGGAUGCAGUGCUGCUGUGAGCUGUGGUGUAGGUGGCAGGUAUAGCUCAGAUCUGGCUUUACUGUGGCUGUGGCAUAGGCUGGCAGCUGCAGCUGUGAUUCAACCCCUGGCCUGGAACUUCCAUAUGUUGUGGGUACAGCCCUAAAAAGAGAAAAAGAAGAGGAAGAAGAAGAGGAGGAGGAACAAGAAGGGAAAGAAAUUUAAGGUAAAACAGUAUAUACGAUGCUCAAAAUAUUAACAAGAAUAUGCACUAUGCUAAAUAGAUCAUAAAAUGGAAUUACUACAAGUGAUAAUAGAUUAUGGUUCAGAAACUCUACCACUUGUAGUGAAUAGAAAGAAAUCUCUAAGUGUGUCAAUUUGUCAUUUUUUGGAUCAAUAUUAAUCAUUUACUAAAGUGACAGGGGAGUCCUUGGUAGAGAUUCUAAGGUUAAUAAAAAGGGUAAAGUUCUGAAAUCCUGUCAAGUUCCAAUUACCAUAUCAGUGGGAACAUUAGGUGUUACAGGUUUAUACCUGCCCCCUACAUUUUGGGGAGCAAGCGGGUAGUGAGGUACUUAUGCUGGAAGAAGAUAUAACAAGGGGUUGAGAAUAACAAACCUCCCAAAUUGUGGGUAGUUGAUCUAUAGAAAAAGUUUGUAACAAUUUAUGCAUUCUUCAACUCUGAAAUUCAGUGGUGGCUUUCUGCCAUGUUUGAGCUUGCUUUAUAAGGCACUUGACAAUGUGUUGAAAAGAGGUUUGCUGAGUUAUUUGUGUCCUUGCCUUUUUUUCCACACCACCAGCAAGCAAGUUCUUAAGGGUAGAUAUAGUGUUGGCACUGAAACAUCCAUUCAGGAUGGACCUGAAUUUAUAGCAUUGUUUCUAAGAAAACUGCAUUUUGAGCUAAACAAAGUUAUAAACAAAGUCCUGAGAAACUAUAUUUAGGUGGGUUGGUUAUUACUUGAAUACUUUACCAUCUUCAACUGGGUGCCUCCUUUAAAUCAAACAUUUCUUUGGGUUUCUUGAAUGAAUUAUCCAUUGUUUUUACACUUUUAAAUUUUUUAUAAUUGUGCAAUAAAUUCAUAGCCUAGUUACUACCAAAGACUAAAUUGCAUUGGACUUUUCUCAUCAAAGACCCAAACAAAGAAUUCGUGGACCCAAUCCAAUCAUACUAAUUCUUGUGAACACAGUCCUCUAAAAUAUAGGGAAUGUUAAUAGUGUAAUUCACAGUAGAGCUCUGAAAUUUUUAACGUAAUAAAAUGCAACCAAAAACUCAUAUGACUGGAAGAAUAUUGCUGUCUAGUGUUGAAAUGGAUCAUUUAAAACAUUGGAACUAAGUGCUGAACAGGGAAAUCCACAAUAAAAAUGGCAGCAGUAAAGGGAAAAAGUAGCUUUCAUAAAGAAUGUCAACAUUUCCUUUCAUAUGGAUACUUCUGCUAAAAUAUGUUAAUCUGAUCAUUUGAUUUACUGGUUUUGCUUAAUAUUUACAAAAGGCUAAUCAUGUAGAAUUUUACAUCCUGUAGUAGACAUUCCAAGGAUUUUUAGUAUAAUCUCCACCAUUCCCAAAAGAGGAAAAAAAACCUGAUUAAUGGUUGUGGCUGGGGAUAUGAAUGCUAUAAAAAUGAGACAAGAUGGUAACAUGCUCUUUUUGUAAAGUGCAACUAGAGCUUCAAAAGGUGGCAAUGAAUUUUACUUUACACAUGGAAAACAUACACAUACCUGAAGUGUACACAACUGACCCACCUCUGCUUCAGGAUUUCUAGGUUUUUCAGAAUAUUGUUUGAAUUAAGGGGUAUUAUCAGGCUGUGGCUGUGCUUCACUUCCAUAGAAGCAGUUUUUCUGAACAGCUCUUAGACAUUGAUCCUAAAAAUAGUCUGAUGAAGUUCUCUACCAUUUGCUGUAAAGUUGGUGAAGAGCCAAGCGACCUCCUAAAAAUACAAAUAGGAGAAAUGUUUCUCAGAUUUCAGCAUCAUUCGUUCACUCUGGAAAUAGUUAUUAAAUCUUUAGAAAUAGUUGGGCUUUUCCUGAGCAGCCAGUUUGUUUUUAUCUCAUUGACAUCACAGAUUCCUUCACUGAUUGCAUUUCCCUUUUUGCAUAGACUGCUAGAAAGCUCAGAGCCAAAUCUGACAAAGACAUAAGACCUCACGGCACAUAUUUUAUUAAAAAAACCCCAAACCCUAAUCUCAACCCCUGCUGCUUUCAUCUUAUUGUAAGUUAAACAUGUAGUGAGCAUGCAAUAUGAAUCAGGUACUCUACUUGCUAAGGUUUUCUCUUGCUAAAUUCUGUAUUUAAUAAAAAUAAAGCUUAUAUUUUAUAUGCCUUUCUAAGCUAUUUAAUAUAGAAUUCUAGGCUCCUAAUUUUCAAGGGUACAGAUUGCAGCCAUAAGACCACCCUUCUCCAAACUAGAGAAUUAACUCGCCUCAAUUCCUGGCAAGAAAGAUGGUUUUCUAUAAAUUCCAAUCACAUCAUAUGGUUUGGUGCAAAAUGAACUAUCUAUAUGCAUGAAGCUAAUUGCUUAAUAGCCCUACUAACAUAUGCUUUCUGAAAAAAAUGUACACACACAUACACAUACAACAAAUGUAAUUGGUGGAAUCUUUUGCUUAAAGGUCUCUGGAGUCUUAGCAGAAAGUUGUAAGCAAACCAAGAAACUUGCAUACAAAAUUAUUCAUUUAUUCCACCCUUGAAGUCAAGUGAAAAGCAGGAAGCACUACUCAUCUUGGAAAACUAUCUGGAUAUUUUCUUUUAAAAGCAAUUUGCUCAGGUGAACAAAAAUGAAAUGUAAGUUUUUUUUGAGGGACACCAAAACCAUACCUUCCUAUAUUUUGAAAAUAAUAACAAGCCUAAUAGGGUCAUGUUUUUAAUCUGAAAAGGUGUUGUGGAAGAAAGUUGCCUGCUCAAUAAUUUUUAAAAGUUGAAUAUAGGUAGUAUGUACUGUGAGUACAACCAGGAAGAGAUUAUAAAAAUAUAAAUGCAUUCUUACAAAAUAACAUUCCCAAUGCUUUUAAAUACAGAAAUUAUUUUAAAAUUACAUGCCGUCCUCAUGAUAAAAUGAUACCACACAAUUUAAUGCCCUAAUUUCAAAAGCCCUUGUCUAGGAAGCUCAAUCAGAAAUUAAGAUUUGCCAUCUCAGUUAUAAACAUUUCCUUCAUAGUUUCAUAAAGAAAGCAAUGCAACUGUAUCAUGAUGGUGAGAAUUCUCAAUCAUUUCUAUAUGCCAAAUAAAUACCUGGCACAGUGUUGAGAAAUUAGUAAGAAUUCAAUAAAUGGCAUUGGUUGGGUAAAUAAAUGAAUGAAAUGGUCAAAGACUGUUAAAAGAAAAUCAUGGACACGGAGAAUAGACUUGUGGUUGCCAAAGGGGAAGGGGAGUGAGUGAGUGGGAUGGAUUGGGUACUUGGGGUUAAUAGAUGCAACUAUUGCCU